rnacentral:ncRNA from 17 species
GAAACUGACGCUCUCCGAGCUGUAGCGCCUAAAAGGUUUGUACCUGAUGGCGCACGGCCUAUGGGUUCUGCCGGAAACGGCAGCGCCUCCCUUUUGGAAAGGAGAAACCGCAGCGUUGCAA